AUUAACCAUGUCACAACUCUUGGUGAGGAUCAGUUUCUUUAUCAGUUGUAUGGUCUUGCCCUGGAAACAAGCAGAGGCUUCGGAGUUGAGACAUGAGCUUAAGAAUAUUGGUCUUUUUGCUCCUCCUAGUAACCACUCCUCCUAUCCACUUUUCUCCAGGGGGAACUCUCUACCUUUCCUUUCCCCCUCCCCACCCGACCCUGCAUCCAGUUGACUGUCCUUAUUAAAUUCUUAUUGGGGAAAAAUUGAGAAGGAGCCUCUUCCCAGGAAUGUCAGCCUCUUUUUAAAUGGGACUUAUGAAGCCUACCCUGUCCUGUUCUCCAGAGAGAAUGAACAAGUGAAGACUUGGCACCAGCUGCGGAAACAUGACCAACCCGUUGCUUCCAGCGACUUUGAGUUCCAAACCUCUCUGUGAUUCAAACUAUGGCCACGUGGCAUGAGCAAAAUGAGAACAAUAUAUGACAAUGUAUCCUCCUUGGAAUGAAGAAAGUGGGCUGAAUGGUGGCCCUCCAGAAGAUAUGCCCACAUUCUAAUCCCUGGAACCUGUGGCUGAUACUACCUUAUCUGGUGAAAGAGUGAAUAUUACCGUGUACGGCAAAAGAUGUGAUUAAGAAUAUUGAGAGGAGGUGCUUAUCCUGAAUUACCCAGGGGGAAGCCUUUGGAAAGUGAUUAGGUCAUGAGAGUGGAGCCUCAUGUUCUUAUAAAAGAGACUUCAGAGGGAUACCUCACCCCUUCCACCAGCUAAGGACACGACAAGAAGAUGGCCAUCUAGGAACCAAGAAGUGGGUCUUCCCCAGACUCCAAAUCUGCCAGCACAUUGAUCUUGGACUUCCCAGCCUCCAGAACUGUGGGAAACAAAAUCCUGCUGUUUGUAAGCCUUCUAGUCUAAGGUGGAAAAAAUGUAAAUAAAGGUUCUAAUAUUUCUUCCAGCUCCCUCGUGGAUCAUCUUUGCACAUGCUCCACGUUUGAGACAGACACCAGAGACGUUGAAGGAGAAGCCCCAGGUCACACA